GACGAACGCUGGCGGCGUGCCUAAUACAUGCAAGUCGAACGGUUUGGUUCCAAGAGGCUUGCCUUUUGGAACUAGACAGUGGCGGACGGGUGAGUAACACGUAGGCAACCUACCUGUCAAACCGGGAUAACCUCGGGAAACCGAAGCUAAACCCGGAUAAGCUCCUUUUUCGCAUGAAGGGGGAGUGAAAAGGUGCGACCUGAUGACAGAUGGGCCUGCGGCGCAUUAGCUAGUAGGUAGGGUAACGGCCUACCUAGGCGAUGAUGCGUAGCCGACCUGAGAGGGCGUACGGCCACACUGGGACUGAGAUACGGCCCAGACUCCUACGGGAGGCAGCAGUAGGGAAUCUUCGGCAAUGGGCGAAAGCCUGACCGAGCAACGCCGCGUGAGUGAGGAAGGCCUUCGGGUUGUAAAACUCUGUUGUUUGGGAAGAAGGGAAAGGGUAGGACCCUUAGGUGACGGUACCAAACGAGAAAGCCCCGGCUAACUACGUG
rnacentral:rRNA from 1 species